rnacentral:rRNA from 1 species
CCUACGGGUGGCAGCAGUGGGGAAUAUUGGGCAAUGGGCGCACGCCUGACCCAGCAACGCCGCGUGAAGGCAGAAGGCUUUCGGGUUGUACACUUCUUUUAACAGGGAAGAGCAGAAGACGGUACCUGUCGAAUAAGCUACGGCUAACUACGGGCCAAGAGCCGCGGUAAUACGGAGGUGGCAAGCGGUGUCCCGAUUUGCUGGGUGUAAAGGGCUAGUAGCCGGGCGGACAAGUCAGAUGUGAAAUCCGGGGGCUCAACCCCCGAACUGCAUUUGAAACAGGUGGUCUUGAGUAUCGGAGAGGCAGGCGGAAUUCCAAGGGUAGCGGUGAAAUGCGUAGAGAUUAGGAGGAACACCAGUGGCGAAGGCGGCCUGCUGGACGACAACUGACGGUGAGGCGCGAAAGCGUGGGGAGCAAACAGGAUUAGAUACCCGAGUAGUC